rnacentral:lncRNA from 1 species
CACCCCUAUCCGAGCAUGACCUGAAAUAUUUUUUGGGCUUCAGGCUGGGCUUAGGAUCGAAAUUUUUUAAAAUUCAUGCCCAAGCCUGACCUAAAUCCAAUUAGGCAUGCCCGAAUUACUUAUUUGUGCCAAAUAUUGGGCUGAUCCAAUUAUAUGCUUUUCACCAUCGUAUCACCUUCUUGCUUUUGGUCCGCAUGGAGUCAAGGAGGCCGCGGGCGACAU